rnacentral:rRNA from 1 species
UGAGGAAUUUUGCGCAAUGGGCGAAAGCCUGACGCAGCAACGCCGCGUGGACGAUGAAGGUCUUCGGAUCGUAAAGUCCUGUCGAGUGGGAAGAAAAAUAUCGAACCAAACAAGCUCGGUAUUCGACUGUACCACCAAAGGAAGCCCCGGCUAACUCCGUGCCAGCAGCCGCGGUAAUACGGAGGGGGCCAGCGUUGUUCGGAAUUAUUGGGCGUAAAGGGCGCGUAGGCGGCCGGAUAAGUCUGACGUGAAAUCCCCCGGCUCAACCGGGGAACUGCGUUUGAAACUGUACGGCUCGAGUCCGGGAGAGGGUAGUGGAAUUCCCAGUGUAGCGGUGAAAUGCGUAGAUAUUGGGAGGAACACCGGUGGCGAAGGCGGCUACCUGGACCGGUACUGACGCUGAUGCGCGAAAGCUAGGGUAGCAAACAG